UCUUGAUGAUUCAGUGUUUUAUUAUGAUGAUGCUGACUAGAAUUUUCUGUAUCAAUUAUCGAUUCUUGCAGUACACACGGAAUUACAUUUGGAUUAGACUCUCCAGAGUCUAAAGUCAAGCUUCUUCUUGAGCUAUUUCCUCCAACUAUUACUUUCUUCUCUGUAUCCCUAGCUAUAUUCUCUUGUUGAAUUAAAUUGUAAUUAGGAGAUGAUGUUGCUGUCAAAGGAUAAUGAGGAGAUGAAUUGCUGACUCUACUCUUUGCAACAGGUACAAAGACACUCUUAUUAACUUCCUUCAAUAUUAAAUUGAAAUUUUCUCCUCUAAGUUGGUUUUCAUAGCGAAUUUGGUUCUGUACCUGCCCAAUACUCUUACCCUUAUUUUGGAGAUGAGAAUAAUCAAUACAAGUUUGUGGUUUAGGUAAUGAAUGAGGAGCCUGAGUAAUCUUUGAAAUUGAUGGAUCUGGUACCGGUUCUUGUCUUAAUACUGAAGCCUGAUUCUUAAUCUUCUUCGCUUCUGCACUAUUAGUCUUGGCAGAAUUAUUCAGUGAUAACAUCUUCAUAGCCACAACAUAUCUUUGCCUAACAAUUUCAAUCAUUUCCUCGAUAGAACUAUACUUUAGAGCUUGAGAACUUUCUUCGGAGUUAUUCUCGGUGGCAAAUGAUCCAUUCGACUCCAACAAAUAAUGAUAAUAAACAACACAAAUGUCCUUAAUAGUUUCAAUAAUAUCCAAGUCUCCCUCUAGAGCUGCUCUAACCUUCUCCCAUACCAUCUUAACAAUAUAUGGAAGAAAACCAUAUCCAACAAAUGGGUCUUUAUCUUGAACCUUUUGUUGGUCAUCUAUACUAUUUGAACUCAAUAUAGCAUCGCCAUUCCUCUCAACCUCGUUUCUUAAAUCCUGAAACAUAAUCCUAUAGAUACGAUGGAACAGAUCUAUAAGAGAAUUAAUCUUCUCACCAACAACAUCAAUUGAAACCCCAUUUCCAAGAACUCCUUCAUUUUGGUUAUAUGAAUUACCAGAAUUCUGAUGUGAAACUACGCAGUUUAGUGCAAAUGUUAACACAAACUGAUCCAUCGUAGUUAACUGCAUUAAUGGGCCAAUCAACAUCUCUUCUUUGUCUGAAAGUUGGAAGUUGGAUUCAUGGCUUUCUAAUACCUUAUCAAAAAGACCAGCACUGCCAACUAUUUCAUUAUAUAGUAAUUGUUCCAUAAAAGUGAAGAAAUGAUCUACUUCCUCAAUUCUAAUUGGCUUUUUUGUACCAUUUUCUAUCUCUGAUUUAAUUUCAUGACUAAUAAUUUUGUUUAGUUUAACAUCCUCUACCUCAUUAGCACUUUCUUUAAUCACUAUCUCACCUCCAGCCUUUCCUACUUGAUAGGAAUUGAAAUUACUACCACUCUCAGGAAUCACUGGUAAUGUAACAGCAUUCAAUUUUGAUAAAUCUAUUGACAUUGGAUAGUUCUCAUUUGAAUAAGUAGAGUGGAAAUUUGGAAGCAUCAUUCCAUUACUCAUAGUCUCACCGCCCAUGUUGAAAUUGCUGUUAUCACUUACUUUUCUAGUUGAACCAUAUAUACUAUUUGUAUCCGGUUGUUCAUUUGUAUUAAUAAUUGACUUUGGAGAGCUCUGAAAAUGAGGAUUAAUUACUCCAUCAUUCAAACUUUUGCCACCUCUCUUCUGAAUAUCAUCCUGAGAUACAUAAGAAUAGUUGCCUGCUCCUACUGUAAUAUUAGGCACAGAAAAGACUUUGGGAAUCAUGGAUAUGAUUGACUGACCCAUAUUUUGAAGUGAUUGUCCAAAAGUUUGAAAUUUGUUGAAAUUUUGCAUUCCACUUCGAUCAUCAGCUCCAGCAUUUGAAGAAUUCAUCAUUGGUGAGCCCAAAGAUCCGGACUCCAUUACUCCCUUAUUUAUUUGAGCUGCAAUAUGUGGGGAGAUAUAAUUUGAGGUUGGCCUCAUGAAUUGUUGAAUUGGCAUUUGCUGAUAUGAUACAUUAACAGGAAUUUGGUAAGGUAUAUGCUGAAUUGCAUUUGGAACAACUGACGGAGUUACUUGGUUAGCUAUAAAUUGCCUUCCAUCAUUUACUGUGUAAUAAGAAUUUGGUGCAACACUUCCUCUAAAUGCUAACCUUGGUGUAUAAUUUGAGUCCAGAGCAUUUGAAACAACGGGGAUUCUAGACAUAUAAGAGGAAACUCCAUCUUGAUAAACUGAAGAUUUUGUAUUAUAAUCAAAAAAGGUCCCUCUAGAAGUCAACGGUCGAGGAGACAAUGUAUCUUGGCUCGCGUCAAAUCCCUCAUGAAUCCCAGAGUUCUGUUUUUGAAGCCUUUUUUUAGAUGGGGAUUUCUUUUCUGCCACUUUCUUUCGUGGAGAAAAAACUUGCAACUUAUGGGUAUUUACAUUGUUUGAAAACUUUUCAUCUGGUUUACCUCUACUUUGGAUUAUUGGUGAAUAUGUUGUCUUUUCACUCAAUUUAAUAUACUCUACAUUACCUUCUUUCAAACUAAAUGUAUUAUUAUCACUUAAUGGCUU
rnacentral:antisense_RNA from 1 species